GGGGGUUCUCGGGUGACACACCCCAGAAUCAGGCUCCCUCCUCUCUGGUUCCAGGUGCAUCACCCAAGAACCGCA
rfam:Myotis lucifugus cont2.22106, whole genome shotgun sequence.